GUGAGUACUGAUUCCAUAAGUUAGAACUAGGCCAUGGGCCACAAGCUCCUGUAGCAGACCACAGAAAUCAGGAACUGAAGGGAGGAGAUUUUAGGAAACGGAAAAGGAUCCUAGCCCAGGACUUCUAGAAAGCAGAGCCUGGGCAAAGAUUGAAGUGCUGACACUUCACAGGAGAGAUGCAAACACAAGGCAAGGAAGAGGUGAAGCAAGGCGCUGAGUCUGAAUCGGCAUAUUAGCAAGAUCCCUGGGUGACUCAUGUGAACGUGAAGGGUCAAGAGCUCUCUCCCUGCAAUUUAUGGAAAAGAAGACUGACAUGGUUCUUUUAAGGAAAUGUUCUGAAGAAUGACAGCCCUAGCAUUUGGAGAAAGACAAAGGAUUGACAUUUGACAAGAUAGCCUAGACAACAGUUUGAAUCCAUUUUAAAGGAAUUGUCCCUGACUGAAUCAGAGAAUAGGGAAUUUGGGUGAAACAGUCGGAAAGGGCGCUAACAUUUCUGACAGCAAGAACGCUUCCCCAAGUUCCUUUUAAAGUUUAGCUGAUUUCUAAACACAGUGGAAGCCAUGAGAGAGAAUAUCUGAAGCAAUUCAUUAAAAUCUUGGCAGCGGGGCCCACAGCUCUGCUCCCUCUGAAAGCUGCCUUCACUGAAGCUGAAGCGUUCCCAGCAGCUCCCUCCACAGAAGACCUAUUGUCAGCACCUCUGGAGGGGCAGUCCCUGGAGAAGCUGCGUCAGUCAAUCAAGGGUCUUGAAUAAAUGAAAACGACAUAAAUAAAUCACUAAAGGGGUGGGCUAGGGUGCCCUUUUGAAUGCCCCUAGGAAAAUAAAUUUGAUUAAAAUGAAAUAUUUUACUGUACGAUGUAACGCUCCAAUUCAGAGGAUUCUGGGGUCCCUCCAGUGAGUGUCAGUUGUGGAGGAAAGGGGAAUGACGGGCUGUCCUUCAGCUGUUGAAUCAGACGAACCUCUUUUCUUGGACAAGAUUUUACAUUGAGAAGGCGUUGUAGGUGAUGGAAAAUGAAAGAUGUUUCUCCUUGCUAAGACCGGUGCGUUUGCUGCCUUUCGCACCUGUUGGCGGUUCUGAAUUUUG
rnacentral:lncRNA from 1 species